CUUAUCCUACGGGGGGCAGCAGUGGGGAAUAUUGCACAAUGGGCGAAAGCCUGAUGCAGCAACGCCGCGUGAAGGAAGAAGGGUUUCGGCUCGUAAACUUCUAUCAACAGGGACGAAAGAAAUGACGGUACCUGAAUAAGAAGCCCCGGCUAACUACGUGCCAGCAGCCGCGGGAAUACGUAGGGGGCAAGCGUUACCCGGAAUUACUGGGUGUAAAGGGGGAGUAGGCGGCAUUGUAAGCCAGAUGUGAAAGCCUUGGGCUGAACCCGAG
rnacentral:rRNA from 1 species